GUGGGGAAUAUUGGACAAUGGGGGGAACCCUGAUCCAGCCAUGCCGCGUGUGUGAAGAAGGCCUUUUGGUUGUAAAGCACUUUAAGCGAGGAGGAGGCUACCGAGAUUAAUACUCUUGGAUAGUGGACGUUACUCGCAGAAUAAGCACCGGCUAACUCUGUGCCAGCAGCCGCGGUAAUACAGAGGGUGCAAGCGUUAAUCGGAUUUACUGGGCGUAAAGCGCGCGUAGGUGGCCAAUUAAGUCAAAUGUGAAAUCCCCGAGCUUAACUUGGGAAUUGCAUUCGAUACUGGUUGGCUAGAGUAUGGGAGAGGAUGGUAGAAUUCCAGGUGUAGCGGUGAAAUGCGUAGAGAUCUGGAGGAAUACGGAUGGCGAAGGCAGCCAUCUGGCCUAAUACUGACACUGAGGUGCGAAAGCAUGGGGAGCAAACAGGAUUAGAUACCCGGGUAGUCC
rnacentral:rRNA from 1 species